AGAGUUUGAUCAUGGCUCAGGAUGAACGCUGGCGGUCUGCUUAACACAUGCAAGUCGAACGAACUCUUCGGAGUGAGUGGCGGACGGGUGAGUAACGCGUGAGAAUCUACCUGUGGGUCGGGGACAACCACUGGAAACGGUGGCUAAUACCGGAUGAGCCGAAAGGUAAAAGAUUUAUUGCCCACAGAUGAGCUCGCGUCUGAUUAGCUAGUUGGUAAGGUAAAAGCGUACCAAGGCGACGAUCAGUAGCUGGUCUGAGAGGAUGAGCAGCCACACUGGGACUGAGACACGGCCCAGACUCCUACGGGAGGCAGCAGUGGGGAAUUUUCCGCAAUGGGCGAAAGCCUGACGGAGCAAGACCGCGUGGGGGAGGAAGGUUUUUGGAUCGUAAACCCCUUUUGUCAAGGAAGAAGCUCUGACGGUACUUGACGAAUAAGCCUCGGCUAACUCCGUGCCAGCAGCCGCGGUAAUACGGAGGAGGCAAGCGUUUAUCCGGAAUGAUUG
rnacentral:rRNA from 1 species